rnacentral:rRNA from 1 species
UACGAAGGGUACAAGCGUUACUCGGAAUUACUGGGCGUAAAGCGUGCGUAGGUGGUUCGUUAAGUCUGAUGUGAAAGCCCUGGGCUCAACCUGGGAAUGGCAUUGGAUACUGGCGACCUAGAGUGCGGUAGAGGGGUGUGGAAUUCCCGGUGUAGCAGUGAAAUGCGUAGAUAUCGGGAGGAACAUCUGUGGCGAAGGCGACACCCUGGACGGUAACUGACGCUGAGACGCGAAAGCGUGGGGAGCAAACAGG